CUGUUAACUUUCGCUGUAGAUUUAGCAGCACAGUACUGUAAAAACCUACAGUACAAUACUGCAUUUCUAUAUUACAGUAAAAUACCGUAAUUUGCAUUGCAUUCUGGGUAAUUUUGUUUGAGCGGGAACAUUUUACAGUACAUUUUAGUGUUGCUGUAACCUAGCUGUAACCUGGCUGUAACAUGCCAGGCAAAUAUACAGGGUUGCUGUAAACAGAGAGCGCGCGCGCCGCCUGACUGACGUCAGAGCACAACUGCGGCAGUUCACUCACUCAGCGCGGAUAUCUCACUCUGCGGAUAUCUGGAAAUUUGCUCUACAGUGUGGGACAAUUUGCAGCCUGGGAAGGAGUUUUAUUUUUGGUCAUCGGUCCAAGGUUCCAGUACCACCUCAAAAUCCCAGCCAAGUUUUUAAAGGGAUACU